UUCAAUUUUCAAUUAUAUUCAUACUUGAGCACAUCAUUUUGUUCCGUUUCAUCUUCUGUUUAUUUUUUUUUUAUAAAAAUAACAUUAUGAGAAAGUUAUUGAAUCGGCCGGCUUUGGCAUUAGCAUCCGUGCUAGCAUUGGUAUUUGUGAUAGUUCUCAUUAAAUCUUAUUGUAAAUUAAUAGACGAUUUGACGAAGUCUCUUUCACAAACUGAAACUGAAAGUGAAUCAGACUUUGCAUCAAAAAGUGAAGAGUUUCCAAAAUCAUCACAAUCUUCAGCAUCUGAAAUGUUUGAACCCCAAUUACCAAACCAUUCAAGUGAUUCCAUCAAAGAUCCAAAUAGACAAAUCACACUAGGAACAUUCGAAGCGUUGAAAGGAUCUUGUUUUCUUCAUGAUGGCGAAAAAUGUGAUUCGUUUUCUUACAAAAAUGACGCAUUUUCGGAUCUUCUAGAUGCAAUCACAACACAUGAGUCAGAAAGUACGGAUACAAAACGGGAUACUAUAUUGAACUUGUUGGAUAUUAACAAUAGCGAUUCUGAUCAAAACAGCCUGAUGAAGUUCUACUCAGAAAUCACCCGUUAUCGAAUGUACUCAAAUAAUCGCCAAACUGUCGACGAUUUACUAUAUGACAUGAAAACACAAAAUGUCUGGAGAGUUGAGGAAAUUGAUAAAGAAGCACAGUUCAAAUUGAAGGUUACUUUCGAUAAUGAUGCCGUUGCCUUAUUUAAACCAAUAAGAUUUUCACGCGAGCAAGAAACAUUGCCAAAUCAAAUGUACUUUCCUGAAUACGAACGCCAUACCAGCGAAAUAGCCGCGUUUCAUCUUGAUCGCAUUUUGGGUUUUCGACGUGCCAUGCCCGUUAUUGGACGAAAUAUGAAUAUGAUAACGGAAAUCCUACGACUUGCUGAUCCAUCAUUGCAAAAGACUUUCUUUGUAUCACCGAAACCAGACGAAAACCUUUGCUUUACUGGAAAUUGCCAACAAUUUUGCGAUGGAUAUCAUCCGAUUUGCGGCAAUGGAACAUACAUAGAGGGUUCAUUAAUGGCAUAUCUUCCCGAAAUGAGAGGUUCUGAACGCACGUCAAAACUACAUCCAUGGGCACAGUCAUAUUCGAAAGACGAAAAAGCCGCAUGGGAAACCGAUCCCGACUACUGUGACAAGAUCGUAGAAUCGGCGAUGUAUACAGAAGGUCGUUUAUUAUUGGAAUUGAUUGAUAUGUCUAUUUUCGAUUUUCUGAUUGGUAACAUGGAUCGCCAAAACUUUCAAACAUUCGACGUCUUCGGAAAUGACACCUUUACACUGCACUAUGAUCAUGGACAUGCCUUUGGCAAAGCUUUUCAUGAUGAGUUGAAAAUUCUCGCUCCAUUGCUGCAAUGCUGCUUGAUAAGAUCAUCCACGUUGCAAUCACUACUAGAUGUUCACAGCAGUCCAAAUCCACUUUCGCAAUACAUGAGAGAAUCCCUAGCAGAGGAUCCAAUCGCGCCUAUAUUAUGGGAGCCACAUUUGGAGGCAUUAGAUCGAAGACUAAUUAUUGUGCUGCAAGCUACUCGAGACUGCAUUUCACGAUAUUCGGCAGAAGAAGUUCUCGUCACCAAGGAUAGCGCCACCUUUAUUUAGAGUUAUUCAUCCUCAUUACUCAACCCAUUACUCAAUAAUAACAAAAAAGUCCAAGUAGAGGAAUUGGCGAAUUAGCGCUUAUGAAAGUUACUUUCUGCUACUUAGAGUCCAAGUCUAUGUUUUGACAAUGGGCUUAGCACGCGUUCAAUGGGAACAUUUAGAAGCGUUAGACCGAAAUGUAAAUGCAAUUUUAAGCACAUUUAGAAAGUGCAUCAAAACCAGUCCCAUUGAUGACGUGAUUUAUUCUCGCGACAAUUUUGGUGUGAAAUCUUUCGAUUCCACGUAAAAUUUUUGAAAAUGUAAAUAGAAUAGUCGAUGAAAUGAAUCUGUUGUUUGAACAGUUUGUCGUCGUUGC